AGAGUUUGAUCAUGGCUCAGAUUGAACGCUGGCGGCAGGCCUAACACAUGCAAGUCGAACGGUAACAGGAAGCAGCUUGCUGCUUUGCUGACGAGUGGCGGACGGGUGAGUAAUGUCUGGGAAACUGCCCGAUGGAGGGGGAUAACUACUGGAAACGGUAGCUAAUACCGCAUAAUGUCGCAAGACCAAAGAGGGGGACCUUCGGGCCUCUUGCCAUCGGAUGUGCCCAGAUGGGAUUAGCUUGUUGGUGAGGUAACGGCUCACCAAGGCGACGAUCCCUAGCUGGUCUGAGAGGAUGACCAGCCACACUGGAACUGAGACACGGUCCAGACUCCUACGGGAGGCAGCAGUGGGGAAUAUUGCACAAUGGGGGAAACCCUGAUGCAGCCAUGCCGCGUGUGUGAAGAAGGCCUUCGGGUUGUAAAGCACUUUCAGCGGGGAGGAAGGGGUUAAGGUUAAUAACCUUAGCCAUUGACGUUACCCGCAGAAGAAGCACCGGCUAACUCCGUGCCAGCCGCCGCGGUAAUAC
rnacentral:rRNA from 1 species